AAGAGAACUUGCCCUUCGGGGUAGAUCUCCCACCCUUUGUUUACAUAUCUUUGUUGCUUUGGCAGGCCCGCCCUCGGGCCACCGGCUUCAGCUGGUCAGCGCCUGCCAGAGGACCCCAAACUCAUAUUAUAAUUGUCGUCUGAGUACUAUAUAAUAGUUA
rnacentral:misc_RNA from 1 species